GAACGCUGGCGGCAUGCCUUACACAUGCAAGUCGAACGGCAGCACGGGAGCAAUCCUGGUGGCGAGUGGCGAACGGGUGAGUAAUAUAUCGGAACGUGCCCAGUCGUGGGGGAUAACGCAGCGAAAGCUGUGCUAAUACCGCAUACGAUCUCUGGAUGAAAGCGGGGGACCUUCGGGCCUCGCGCGAUUGGAGCGGCCGAUAUCAGAUUAGCUAGUUGGUGGGGUAAAAGCCCACCAAGGCGACGAUCUGUAGCUGGUCUGAGAGGACGACCAGCCACACUGGAACUGAGACACGGUCCAGACUCCUACGGGAGGCAGCAGUGGGGAAUUUUGGACAAUGGGCGAAAGCCUGAUCCAGCAAUGCCGCGUGCAGGAUGAAGGCCUUCGGGUUGUAAACUGCUUUUGUACGGAACGAAACGGCUCCUCUUAAUACGGGGGGCUAAUGACGGUACCGUAAGAAUAAGCACCGGCUAACUACGUGCCAGCAGCCGCGGUAAUACGUAGGGUGCGAGCGUUAAUCGGAAUUACUGGGCGUAAAGCGUGCGCAGGCGGUUAUAUAAGACAGAUGUGAAAUCCCCGGGCUCAACCUGGGACCUGCAUAUGUGACUGUAUAGCUAGAGUACGGUAGAGGGGGAUGGAAUUCCGCGUGUAGCAGUGAAAUGCGUAGAUAUGCGGAGGAACACCGAUGGCGAAGGCAAUCCCCUGGACCUGUACUGACGCUCAUGCACGAAAGCGUGGGGAGCAAACAGGAUUAGAUACCCUGGUAGUCCACGCCCUAAACGAUGUCAACUGGUUGUUGGGUCUUCACUGACUCAGUAACGAAGCUAACGCGUGAAGUUGACCGCCUGGGGAGUACGGCCGCAAGGUUG
rnacentral:rRNA from 1 species